rnacentral:lncRNA from 1 species
GAAGAGAUAAGACACGGGGACUUCCAUGGAUCCGGCGGAUCAAGACAACAACUAAUACUUCAGUAAGUUGAAGAUGUCUUCACCUUUAGUCAUUGUAGAAAUGCUUAUCUAUUUUCUAUAGUAACAAGGUUAUUCACUUGUCAAUUUGGACACUUAAAAUAGAUCGGUCAGUUUUUCUGGACGUUUUUUGCCAGUUUUCUAGUAUGUGAUUUGUAUGUUAACGUGUUCACCAGGAGAGUUUGGCAGAAAAGGCCAGCUUGUCUGAG